GGGGUGCGGGUUACAAAGAUGAUCAAGGGGCUGGAACACCUCUCCUACGUAGAAAGUCUGAGAGAUGGGGCUGUUCAGCCUAAAGAAGAGAAGGCACCAGGGGGACCUCAUUGCAACCUUUCAGUACUUGAAAGGGACUUAUAAAAAAGAUGAGGAGUAAUUCUUUGCUCAAUCAAAUAAUGACAGGAUGAGAGGGAAUGGUUUUCCAUUCCAUGAAGAGGUGAGAUUUAAAUUAGAGGUUAGGAGGAAAUUCCUUACUCAGAAGGUGGUGAGGCACUGGAACAAGUUGCCCAGAGAGGUUGUGGAUGCCCCAUCCCUGGAGGUGUUCAAGACCAGGUUAGAUGAGGCCCUGAGCAACCUGGUCUAGUGGGUAACGUCCCUGCCUAUGGCAGGGUGGUUGGAACUAGAUGAUUUUUGAGGUCCCUUUCAACCCAAGCCAUUCUAUAAUUCUAUGAUAAUUGUAUCCAGCUGGCUCUUGAAUAUAUCCAGGGAAGAAAACUCCUCAACUUUUCCAGAAAACUUGUUUCAGCGCUCAGUCACCCUCACAGUAAAGAAAUUUUCCCGCAUGUUCAGACAGAAUUUCCUUUCAUUCUGUGACUGUUGCCUCUUGUCCUAUGACUGGGCACCGAGAAGAAUCUGGCCUGUUGCCUCAAUAAGAGAAGGGGAAAAUAUUUGGGAGUAUAAGGAAGUGUCCUUGAAAGCCAAUCUAUGGAAGAAAGGAAGUCCUAAAGCUCAUGAAGAUUGCUUUUGCCUCCAUGAUAGUUCCAUUGUGACAGCUGCAGCCUGUGAUAUGGGAAUUAUUCCCUGUUUUUUGCAGGCUGCAAUGAGUCUUUUGGGGAGGAGAUAACGUGCUAGAACGAAAAAAAGAUGACACCAUUGUUCCAGUGAACUCAUUUACAGCCUUAGCAAUAGAUAGCCAUUUGGAUACUAUCACUGUAUAACAAUUUGAAGGAAAGAGUGAAAGGAGAUAAAU
rnacentral:lncRNA from 1 species